AUUGAACGCUGGCGGCAGGCCUAACACAUGCAAGUCGAGCGGAGCGGCGGACGGGUGAAUACUGCCUUGGAACCUGCCUGGGUGUGGGUGAUAACGUCCGGCAACGGGCGCUAACACCGCAUACUAUCAGAUGACCCUAGGUCGGCUUAGCUAGUUGGCGGGGUAAAGGCUUACCAAGGCGACGAUCCGUAGCUGGUCUGAGAGGAUGAUCAGUCCCACUGGAACUGAGACACGGGCCAAACUCCGACGGGAGGCAGCAGUGGAGAAUAGUGGACAGUGAGCGAAAGCCUGAUCCAGCCAUGCCGCGUGUGUAAAGAAGGUCUUCGGAUGGUAAAGCACGUAAGGUUGGGAGGCGUUACCAACAGAGUAAGCACCGGCUAAGUUCGUGCCAGCAGCGGCGGUAAUAC
rnacentral:rRNA from 1 species